UGAAAAUGGCGAGGACAACAAUGUGGUGAGUCUUUCUGCAUCUUAUUUUAAAUAUUUGCAUUACUUUUCCAUCUCAACUGCUUAAUAUGGGUCACUCUAUACUUACAUCUACAUCAUGUAAACACUGUACAUCCAUAUGUUUCUAUCACAGAUGCAUCUGUCUUUCAAUAUGUUUGUCUGUGUGUCUGGGGAAUACUCUGGCUGCUCUCUUCCUCUCUGCCAGUUUCCUCUCAAGGUGUCUUACCCUUGUUUCAUCACUCUGGCUUCUCUGUCUCUUGUCCCAGAGUGACUGCAUCUGAGUCUCUCUCAGCUCCAGCUGCCAGAGGCCCCGGUGUCCCUGUGCCCCCCAGGCAUUAAGGCGUACAGCAGGGGAGAUGUCUGCAUUCCUGCAGCCUCUCAGAACACCCGAGGGCACAGUCACAUGGCAGAUAUAAAAAAGGCACCCUCUCUCUAAGGCAUCCUACAAAACUGAUGACCAGCAGACCUACGGCCGCUGUCCGGGCCCAACACCUCCUGCUCCAUCACACAAAUCCAGGAAAUGUAAGUGGAAUGAAG
ensembl:lncRNA